GUUGAACUGCUUCUGAAGAUCCAAAAUGAACCCUACUAGGCAACAGCGCACCGUUUGAAAUAUUUUAUCUAGUCUCUUUGCAUCUAUGUUCAUAAGAUUUAAAUCUUAAUUUUGAAAGCACUGACUGCUCUCAAAGGAAUUUGGAUUUAUUUGAUAAGGAGGGGGGGCAUUGAAGGUUUGAUCGAUAGCUUAUCACCUGGAAGAUCUCGUGGCCAGUGACUGGAAUUUAUCUUCAGUGAUUAUUGGGACACUAUUCGGUCUUCGGUUGCUGAGUGUUUCUUGUCUCAGUCCUGUUCUAGACAGUGUGUUCAAUGUUUCUUGUGCAGAUCCAGCCACAAAAAUCCUUCCUUUUCUCUCAAUUGGAAAUCAAUGUAUCCUGUGUAGCCUGAGUUUCUUUACAUGCUUGCAUGCCACUGUGUUUUUGCACAGAGUGGUUUGCCAAGAAGGGGGCGUGUGGAGCGAUUUGAACAACAACCGUACUGGGAAAGAAGACGUGUCCCCAAGGCCUCCUGCAGCAGUGCUUACAAACGCACACAUGCAGGGUGACUGUGUCUGCUGAAAUCUCCUGACAUGUUUAGCCAGUCUGCUCUGUUGUUAAACUAUGUGCCAGUGGUGUGUCCCUUGCUGUUCUGAAAACAGUAUCACCGUAUGGAGAAGAGACCCCUCCGUUCCUGUCAAAGUGUUUGGAGCCCAAGACAGGCUGGUGAAUUCAAGCUCUAACCAAAACAACCAAACACCCAACCAACCAACCAACCAAAAACAAAAACAAAAAAACAAAAAACAAAAAACAAAAACAAAAUAAAACACCACCAUCACAAAAAAAAAAAAAAAAAAAAGGUGGGAAACACAUCUGUUGGCUCUUGAAGACUCCUGCCUUCAUGACAGUGCCAGGUACAGAGAGAAGCUGUCUAACCAUAGCUCUGCCCUUGGACUUUGCACUCUGGAUUGCCGGGUCCCACCUCUCCUCGAGAAUGGACGUUACCUCUUCUGAUUGAUAGUCUAUUCAGUCUAUCCUCCUUUUUCCAUGAUAAAAAGGUUUAGCCCAGUCCAUAGGCUAUCAGACAAAAACUACAUUUCCCAGUCUCCCUUGUUGUCAAGUGGCCACGUGACUAAGGCCCUCCCAGAAGGUUGUAAACAGAAGUGCUGUUUGCUACUUGCCUGUCUUCUGUUUAAAAACAUUGGCCCGCGCUUCCCAAUACAGUUCCCGCUUCCCCAGAAGUGGAGGCGAGGAUGAAGAAGACCGGCCCCAGACCACCGCUCUAGUCCCCUCUCUGUCUUCUGUUACAGAGGCAGUAAGCUAUUGGCAGCUUUUGCUCUUUUGUGGACUGUUGGAGAUGCCACAACAGAGACCCGAUGUCCCUCUGAGCUUGGCGUGUCCUUUGUAGUAUGGUAAGUACAAAAAGGAAGAUGAGAACCUCCACACAAUAUUUCAGAAUCUCUCAAACGCUAU
rnacentral:lncRNA from 1 species